CCUUACCCACCUUCUCUCUUGAUUCCUUCCUCCCUCUUCUUCUUUCUCUUCUUAACCAUGAAUCCAAUCCCGACAUUAUGCUUCUCGCUGCCAGGGCUCUUACCCCUCUUCUUCUGUUUGCGAGCUGCGUCUAGCACUAUCUACUGCUGCAAACAUGUGCAUGAAAUUACCUUCUGAUGCAUCUGAUUAUGUUAUGGGAGCUGUACCUUUACUGACAAACCUUCUCCAGUAUCAUGAUUCCAAGAUGAAUUAUGCAACCACGGCCUGGUCACUCAAGCUGCGUCUCUUCUUUCCACUACCAAUUCAGGACGUGGGCAAGCAUCUCUCGGGCUUAAUCCUAUUACUUCCCACCUGUGCGAGCGGGUCACCUCUUGGAUCCAGGACAUUACUUCUUCUGGGUAUUAGUAGCAUUCUUAAGGAUAUUCUAUUGGGUUCUGCUGUCUCUGCUUAUGCAUCUGUAUCCCCAGCAUUGAGCAGGCCUGCUGAUCAGGUAUUGUAUUUUACUUAUUGAUAUCACAAAUUUUCUUUUGUGAAUACGUUAUUAAAUAAUGUUAGCUUUUAAAAUAACUGGCAUACAGUGAGAUGGUUAGGGGAAACACCUACAAGUCGAUCACUUGAGUUUAGGAUCAACUCUCUAUAUCAGCUUUUGUCUCUUCAUUUUUAUUUGUUUGCCGUAAUUUGCUUAGGUGUUUUGAAUAGUGUAUAGAUCAUAAUAUAUGUACAGGUCUUUUGAGCUUUAUUUAUGUGGAAGCAGAUGCCUCAAUUUACAUAUACUUGUUUUCUGGUCUUAUGUUAGAGGUGGUAUACAGAGAAGCGGUUCAUCAAUGUUCUUUGUCUGGCUUACUUGUUUUUUCUAGCCCGUGGUUCGCUGCUUCUUACACAUGACGAUGCGAGGUCUUUUGUUUUCAGAAAUGUUUUGAGCUAUAACUUUUGUUUUGUAUCUUAGAUUUUUGAGAUUGUCAACCUAGCGAACGAGCUCCUCCCUCCAUUGCCACAAGGCGUUAUCUCCCUUCCUACUGCUGGCACAAACACUUUGGUGAAAGGUUCAGGCCAAAAAAAACCUUCUCUAAGUACCUCAGGAAAACGAGAAGAUUCUCUCAAAGUUUCACCUAGACAAAAAUUGCUUAGUGAUCAACCUGAACUUCUGCAGCAAUUUGGAUUGGAUCUUCUUCCAGUUUUA